CAAAAAAUUAGCAAUGUUUACUAAGGUAUUUCUACAAGCUGUCCUUUUUUGCCUGGUGGCAAUCUCCGUAAUCAAUCCUCAAUACUUAUGCCCACAUAAGGAAAAUGGAAAAUGUAAGGCACAACCCUAAAAAGGAGAAAAAUGAAAGUGUAAAAUGAAGUUUAUGCUUUUACAAAAAAAAGAAUAAAGAAAAUAUAUAUAUA